AAAGCAUAUAAGCGCGAAACCCACCUUAAGAUUAGAUUUCCCUACCUAUAUGGUAAUAAGGCUCGUUGGAGACUACAACGUCGAUAGGCUACAGGUGUAAGUGCAGUAAUGCAUUCAGCCGAGUAGUACUAAUUAGCCGAACGGCUUUAUCAAAUUAUUAUU
rnacentral:rRNA from 1 species